UACGUAGGGAGCGAGCGUUGUCCGGAUUCAUUGGGCGUAAAGAGCUCGUAGGCGGCUUGGUAAGUCGGAUGUGAAACCUCCAGGCUCAACCUGGAGUCGCCAUCCGAUACUGCCAUGGCUAGAGUCCGGUAGGGGCCCACGGAAUUCCUGGUGUAGCGGUGAAAUGCGCAGAUAUCAGGAGGAACACCAAUGGCGAAGGCAGCUCGCUGGGACGGUACUGACGCUGAGACGCGAAAGCGCGGGGAGCAAACAGG
rnacentral:rRNA from 1 species